rnacentral:sRNA from 1 species
CAGCAACCAUUCCUCCAUCUUAUUGGGUUUUCAAAAUCAUUCUUCAUACUAGAAGACAAGAUCUGAGGCCAUGGUGAACAGUCACAUGAGUUACGGAGCACAUGUGGGUUAAUAGAGCCACGUUUUAGACACCCUCUAGCCUAAAUCUGAUCACAGUCAUCUGUCCCCUUCUCUUAGGGUCUACCUUUCCCAAGUUGUUAGGGACCUGGGAGGAGAGGAUGAUGGGAUGGGGAGUCAACAGGAGAAAAUCAUGUGCAGGCAGAAUUGGAAUUUCAACUUGGUCCAGGCAACACAAUUCAUUUAUAAAUUACUUUAUUUCUCUCUCUCUCCCCACUGCCCCUCCUCUGAGAGCUUCUCUCCUAGCUUUUUCUCUAUCUCUGUCUCUCUGUUUUUUACUCUUUUUAUCUGAGAGAAUAGUGAUGUAAAAAUGGUCAGGAAUUCACUUUUUCUAAAGAGAUCCUGGUCAAGCUGAUAUUCAGAAAAGUAUUUAGCAAUGUGGGGCUGUGGUGUGUUUUUGAUCUGUUCAUGAGGUCAUUCCUUCCUCGUUUCUCUCUGGAAUUUGGUAUUAACUGCUUUUCCCCCUCUUUUAGGGGAUGACUUUGACUUAGGAGAUGCUGUUGUUGAUGGAGGAAAUGACGACCCACCACCACCGAACCCACCCAAACCGAAGCCAAAUCCAAACCCCAACCACCCUAGUUCCUCUGGUAGCUUUUCAGAUGCUGACCUUGCGGAUGGCAUUUCAGGUGGAGAAGGAAAAGGAGGCAGUGAUGGUGGAGGAAACCACAGGAAAGAAGGGGAAGAGG